GAACGCACAUUGCGCCCCUUGGUAUUCCGAGGGGCAUGCCUAUUCGAGCGUCAUUAUCACCCCUCAAGCCUAGCUUGGUGUUGAGGUCUGCUGUAAAGGCAGCCUCUAAAAUCAGUGGCAGUGCUGUCAGGCUCUAAGCGUAGUAAAUUUAUCGCUAUAGGGUCCUGGUGGAUACUCGUCAAAACCCCCCAUUUUUAAUGAUUGACCUCGGAUUAGGUAGGGAUACCCGCUGAACUUAAG
rnacentral:misc_RNA from 1 species